UACGUAGGCAGCGAGCGUUGUUCGGAGUUACUGGGCGUAAAGGGUGUGUAGGCGGUUGUUUAAGUUUGGUAUGAAAUCUCCCGGCUCAACUGGGAGGGUGCGCCGAAUACUGAAUGACUAGAGUGCGGGAGAGGAAAGUGGAAUUCCUGGUGUAGCGGUGAAAUGCGUAGAUAUCAGGAGAAACACCGGUGGUGUAGACGGCUUUCUGGACCGCAACUGACGCUGAGACACGAAAGCGUGGGUAGCAAACAGG
rnacentral:rRNA from 1 species